AACAUAUUGAACGAUACAGGUGCUGCGGUUCGACAAAGCGAUGCGCGUCGGGCCCCGGCUUAAUAGGGAAGACGGUGCGAAUCCGUCGCGGUCCCGCCACUGUAAGAAGCGCUUCCGGAGCAAUGGUCAUCACCGUUCCGGCAGCAAGUACCCGGCAGAACAGGCGCUCUGUAGAGAGCGGCCUUUUCUAUGUCCACUGGGACGAAUGUCCCGGGAAGGCCGCCGAGGUAUACGGCUUCCAGCCAGGAGACCUGCCUGUAUCGCAGCACAUUC
rnacentral:ncRNA from 2 species